rnacentral:rRNA from 1 species
UACGAAGGGGGCUAGCGUUGCUCGGAAUCACUGGGCGUAAAGCGCACGUAGGCGGCUUACUAAGUCAGGGGUGAAAGCCUGGAGCUCAACUCCAGAACUGCCUUUGAUACUGGUAAGCUUGAGUUCGGGAGAGGUGAGUGGAACUGCGAGUGUAGAGGUGAAAUUCGUAGAUAUUCGCAAGAACACCAGUGGCGAAGGCGGCUCACUGGACCGGAAUUGACGCUGAGGCGCGAAAGCGUGGGGAGCAAACAGG